UACGUAGGCAGCAAGCGUUGUUCGGAGUUACUGGGCGUAAAGGGUGUGUAGGCGGUUGUUUAAGUUUGGUGUGAAAUCUCCCGGCUCAACUGGGAGGGUGCGCCGAAUACUGAAUGACUAGAGUGCGGGAGAGGAAAGUGGAAUUCCUGGUGUAGCGGUGAAAUGCGUAGAUAUCAGGAGGAACACCGGUGGUGUAGACGGCUUUCUGGACCGUAACUGACGCUGAGACCCGAAAGCGUGGGUAGCAAACAGG
rnacentral:rRNA from 1 species